rnacentral:rRNA from 1 species
UACGAGGGGGGCGAGCGUUUGUUCGGAAUUAUUGGGCGUAAAGGGAUGCGUGAGCGGUUCCGCAAGUCCUGUGUGAAAUCUUCGGGCUCAACUCGAAGUCUGCACGGGAAACUGCGGGGCUUGAGUGUGGGAGAGGUGAGUGGAAUUCCGGGUGUAGCGGUGGAAUGCGUAGAGAUCCGGAAGAACACCGGUGGCGAAGGCGGUGAGCUGGGCAGUUGCUGACACUGAGGCGCGACAGCGUGGGGAGCAAACAGGG